rnacentral:rRNA from 1 species
CCCCUAGUAGCGGCGAGCGAAGCGGGAAGAGCUCAAAUUUAUAAUCUGGCACCUUCGGUGUCCGAGUUGUAAUCUCUAGAAAUGUUUUCCGCGUUGGACCGCACACAAGUCUGUUGGAAUACAGCGGCAUAGUGGUGAGACCCCCGUAUAUGGUGCGGACGCCCAGCGCUUUGUGAUACAUUUUCGAAGAGUCGAGUUGUUUGGGAAUGCAGCUCAAAUUGGGUGGUAAAUUCCAUCUAAAGCUAAAUAUUGGCGAGAGACCGAUAGCGAACAAGUACCGUGAGGGAAAGAUGAAAAGCACUUUGGAAAGAGAGUUAACAGUACGUGAAAUUGUUGGAAGGGAAACGCUUGAAGUCAGACUUGCUUGCCGAGCAAUCGGUUUGCAGGCCAGCAUCAGUUUUCCGGGAUGGAUAAUGGUAGAGAGAAGGUAGCAGUUUCGGCUGUGUUAUAGCUCUCUGCUGGAUACAUCUUGGGGGACUGAGGAACGCAGUGUGCCUUUGGCGGGGGUUUCGACCUCUUCACACUUAGGAUGCUG